rnacentral:rRNA from 1 species
CGCGGGAGUUGUUGCCGCCGCCGAGCACGUGGGCUCCGCCGCCUACCGCCAGAUGUCGACGCACGCGGCCGUCGCCGUCGCCGCCGCCGGGCACGUGGCCCCCGUCGCCCCGCUAUCUGGCGUGGAAGCACGCAACCGUGGUUGUCGCUGCCGCCGUCCGAUGUGGACUCUGGCCGUCGCCGCCACCGGGCACGCGGCCUCCGCCGCCCAACCUGGACACACGUGGUCGUGGCCGUUGCCGCCGCGGCGGGUGUGGCCUCCAGCGGCCUGCUGCCCGGCGUGGACGCACGCGGCCGUGGCCUCCGUCGCCCAGCCACGGGCCGCUGUCAGGGACAUUGGCGCACACGGUAGAGAAAAGCUCCACCGCAACCUCUGUCGUAAGAAUAAGAUGAUUUCUCCUAUCUCUAAUCUACUUGCAAUCUGACAUCCAUUGCCAAUUUGGCUUUCUGGAAAUUCGGUGGCACAUGAAUUCUAAUUCUAAUUUGAACAUGGAGCACUAUUUUUUUUCUUGUGAUAACCACCAAGCACGAACAUGCAGUGCAUGUAUAGCUCUUGCCGAGUGAAAUUUUUAUAUCAUAUUCCGUUGUCAAUUUACCCUUUGUUUGAGGACAAUAGGCUGUUCUCACAUUAGCAUACAUCUAAACUUCUAGAUUCAUUUUUAAUACACCCAUCUUUGUACUGUUUUGUGUGUGUAUGUAUGGGUUUUUUUUCCUUCUUCUGAAACAAUCAUAUGUGCUUCGAGUUCACAGAUGGGCAAUGCUAGAAAUCACUUGAAAGUUACAGGUGUGUUGGUGCAGAUUGCUUAAAAAAACUUUCAUGUAUCACUUUAUUGUAACUCUGACAUUUAGUUUGUGUUCAAUUAUCUGUAGUACAACCUAACUAUUUGAUCUUCGGAAUGCUAAUUUGUGCACACACAGAAUAAAAACCGGUAGCGAUGACAAUGUUUCCUGUGAAGACCAAUACCUGCUACAUAUGCAUUGUUUCAUGUGAUGAUCAAUUCCUGCUACACCUACACUAGAUCCUGUGAUGCAUUGCGUGGCCUGGAACGACUUUAAUUUUGAAUAUAUUUUUAGUUUCGGAGCUGUUUAGUCCAACAAUGAAACCCAGGUCAUUAUCCAGUCUGCUCGCAUGAUUGGCGCACACAGCCACCACCGACCAUCGUUAUCCGGCCAUAAUCCCGACGUCCUCCUCGCAUCACCCUGCUGUGUGCCCCUGGCCGAUUGCCUCGAUACGCCAUCCAGGCGCGCGUGGCCACAAAAGCUCUUCAUCAUGGUAAGGCGCAGGUAGAUGACGACAAGCUGCAGAACAACGAGCAGCUCGACAGUGGAGUACCGACGCGAUACUUGUCAUGGGGAAUCGGGAAGGUACAGUGUUGGGUACAUAAUUUUGCUUGGUCGUCACUUCUCUUUCAAAGUAUGUUCGCUGCAGAAUGAUUCUCGAUAGCCGGUCUGGUGAAGACUUUCCAAUAAUUUGUAUGUCUUUUUGGACUGGUCAUUACUUUCUGAAAUUAAGGUACGAUGAUUUGGAGGAAUUGAUGUGUAUGCACUGUUGUUACAUUGCAGGAUAGUGAAUUGUGAUAAUUUUACUAUUGUGUAUACUCUGUUCUACAUCAAAUUUUCGUUUAGCAUCUUAAAGAUAUUUCUCCACUUCAUUCUUGUUACUUUAUUUGCAGCCUGGUUAUAUGUUGUUUGUGCUCUCUCAUUACUAUCUCAGGCCUAUUAAUCCAUAUAACAAUUGUUCCUGAAUUUCUACAGGUUCCCCUGAUCACCAUAUUUAUUUGGAAGCUACUAGAACAAGUCAAUCUUAGUUUGGGCUAUGUUGCAGCAAUAGGCCUGUGCUUUUUAAUCAUGUUUUAGCUGUUCAUUUUCAAGUGCACUAAAAAUCGACAUGUUUCAUAUUCCUCCAACGGUUUUGAGGUUCCGUACUUAAUUCUUGCAUUUUGGUUACUGUAGAGGAGUAUGCUCAUAUGGUCAAGGCUCGUAUCAUCGACCCUGUAAAAGUGAUCCAAAAUGCACUUCAAGCUGCAGCAAGGAGGGCCUGCUAUGACUCCCAUGGGUGGCAUUACCGCAACUAUCGAGCCUUCAAAUUUUGAAGAUAACAAGUACUCCCUCUCUCUCAGUUUACAGGGCGUGCGCGUACCCCUAGGUCGUCAAUUUGACCAACCUAAUACAAGUCAUAUAUUACAAAAAAUAUAUCAAUAUAAAAUUCAGACGUUCUAUUUUCAAACCGUAUAAUUUUUGUGUUAUAUAGUUUAUAUUAGGGUGAUAAAAUUGGUAACCUAGUUAUACGCGUAGGACUUGUAAACCGUGACGGAGGGAGUAGCCUGAAUCCAAGAAGAAAAUUAAUUCAGUUCUGCCAAGACUACUAUUUUUUGGGUAUCUUUGUUCCAACUUUGCAUUGACACCACUUGGACAAUGUUGAUGUGUUCCUUUCAUUUUCACCAAGAAAAUAAAC